CUGCUGCUUUGAUGUCACCAGGAGUUGGGCACAGGGGACGGAGGGGCUAAGAACCACAAAGGGGGAGGCAGGGAGGCUGGCCUAAGGGGUCAAGGGAGGAGCCGAGUUAUUAGAGCCAGGGGCCAGGUCACCUAGUGGAGUCUAGAACCUUGGAGACCCAUCCAGUGGGAGACUCAGCCGCUGCUGAAGCCUUCAUCCAUGGUCAAGGGGAGCCUCCAAGGUAUGCCUCGGAGAGAAGCAUUUUAAAUCUUCUGAAACGAGAUGCAGACAGACAAAACGAAACAGGACAAAGACGUCACUGAGGGCACUGCCAACACUUCUGGAGCUUGUCCUGAAGAGCCAUUCGUGUGCUUGGACUGAUCUCCCGUCUUGUGCUCUUGGCAUUGGUGCAGGAUCCUGCAUGUACAUUUGCAGGUGCGAGCUUGUGCACGCGAACAUGUGUGCUGCUUCCUCUCACGAACCCAGCAGCAUAGCAGCAGCCAGAGACGCCCCAGAGUGAUGACAACUAAUUAUGAAACACCAGUCUGAUCUGUCCCUUUUAUCUCAUCUUGCAGAAGCCUUGCAUUCCCCCAAAGCCCCCCAGUGGCCCUUUGUAAUCCCAGAAAAGAAGUGUCAAUAUGGAAACAGCUGUUCUUGAGAUAGUGGGAUGACAGCCUAAUGAGCAUGCCAUCAGCUAUAGAGGAAACCCAAGGCUAAUGGGCUUCUGAUGCAAAUAUUCUUUCUAGACCAUCCCACUCAUAUGAGAAAGGCUACAGUCCCCAGCAAGACUGGGAGAGGACACACUGGCCUAUAGAUGUCAAGUCUUCUUUUGUUCUUAUUUAGGUUUUUAGCCUCUCAAACCCCAUGGGGCAUCAGGCAAUCUCCCUGACUCCUCUGGAAGGUGACUGGAAAAAAGGCAGCCCCAAUUUUUUUUUUUGUUUUGUUUAGAGGCCAUGCUAGGGAAGCCAGCAGGAGCACAGGGCUCCUGCAAUUUUGGUAGCAGGAGAAACAGCCACAGGUUGCUGUGGUUCAGGCAGGGAGUGAAGGCUGUGCUUAGAAAGAACCCAAAUUCCCAAUCAUUCAAGGGGGAAAGGUUAGGGAGAAAUAGUGGGAGAGAGCUGUAGAGGUGGAGGAAAGGGGGAUGAUGGAUUGCAGCAGGCGACUUAAAACAGAUGCCUUUUCUAGGGGCAAGGCAAGGGAUGAAGAGAACUGACCUACCAUGUGCCUCCUUGGCAUCAGACACACCCCUGGACACUUGCUCUAUGUCACCUCUUCUGAAUCUUCACCAUGAUCCUGUAAGCCGGGUAGCAUUAGCUGCACUGUAUUGAUAAGGAAACUGAAGCUCACAAAGACGAAAUGCUUGCCAACAAUCUCACAUCUAGGAAGUGGUACCAAGCUGGGAUUGAGACUUGAGCCCAUGAGACUUUAAAGCUCCCUCUCAAUUUUCUUUGGGGAUGUGUAUAUAGGUGGGGAAGCUAUACAGAAAAUAAAAAAAAUCUUUAUAUAAAAGCUGGGGGGUCCAGACAUGGUGGCUCACACCUGUAAUAAUCCUAGCACUUUCGGGGCUGAAGCAAAAUGUUUGCUUGAACCCAGACAUUCAAGACAAGCCUGGGCAAUAUAACAAGACCUCAUCUCCACAAAAAUAAAAAAAAAAAAUAAUAAAAAAAACAGCUGGGCAUGGUGGCUUAUACCUGUAGUCCCACCUACUUGGGAGGCUGAGGUGGGAGGAUUGUUUGAGCCCAGGAGGUCGAGGCUGCAGUGAGCCAACAUCAUGUCACCACACUCCAGCCUGGGGGAUAGAGGGAGACCCUGACUCAAAUAAAUACAUAAAUACAAUAAAAUAAAAAUAAAUAAAUAAAAACUGGGGGAGGGUUCUGUUUCCCUCUGGGGGAGGGAGAGAAUUUUAAUCUAGAGGGGAUACUCAGAGACUCCUGGAGUCCUCACUCACAAUAUUUCAUUUUUAAUCUGGGUGGUGGUUACACAGGGUGUUCAUGUUGUAAAUAAUCCUUUAGACUAUCCAUACAUGUUUUAUGGACUUUUGUGCACCUCACCGAUAUCUUACAAUAACAAAUUACAAACAAAAAAGAGUCCCUAUUAUUUUUGCAUCCAGUGAUUUCUUCAGUAUAUCACCAGAACGGCAUCUGAAAUGACUGUGUCAGACACCAGAGUACAACCUGGUAAGAAAUGCAUGCAAUCAUGAGAUUUCUGCGUUUUUUUUUGCAUUUUAUUGCUCCCAGCAAAAGUUAAAUUUUACAAUAACAGUAAAAAUAUACUAGUUAAAACUCAAGCGAUUGAUAUGUAUCUAUUGAGGUCCUUGUAUACAAUAUUCUAGGUGCCAUGGAGGUUACAAAGGUGUCCUUGCCUUUUGGAUCUCAGGAUCACCUUGAGGAGGAGGCAAGACAGAGACACAGAAUGAGAGAAUUAACUAAGUGAGGUCAACAAAUAAUGAGUGGUACAGAGAGGAAGUGCGACAGAAAUCCACGUGUCUAAGCUUCGCAGAGGGGAGAGAAUUUCAUUGAGGCUUGAAGGAUGUAUGAACUUCAGACAGGUCAAGAGGAAGCAGAAUUACAAGCACAAAGACAUAGUAAUGAGAAGAGGCUCGCUGUCUUGCAGAGACUAAUGUUGACCAGUUUGGAGUGGGGAACUCACAAUGGGAAAUUAUAAGAGAUAGGCUUAAAAGAGAACUUGACCUCCAAAACCUUGUGUGAUCUGGCCCAAACUUUGUCUAGCUGCCUGAAUUUGUUGGAAUCACAUGAUUUAAUAUAAACAUUGCAUAAUGUUAAAUGUGAUUUAAAUGCUUCUCAAGGGAGAAGCAGGGGCACAAAUGUUGCUACAGAGGGCAGGCAAAUGCUAUGUAAAUAAGGGGUAAAAAUUGAGUGUGGGGAGGUUGGGCUAGAGAUGAUAAUGGAUGGAAGAACUGGAGAAGUGCUGGCUGUGGGAGGAUGAGAAGGUGAGUUCAAGUGAUAAGUCAAAGAUGCACACUGGGGCUAUGAAAAGAUGGGUUGUAUUUAGAGAAAAGGAUGGAGUGUCUGACCCCAUUCUCUUUCAAGGUGGAGUGCAUCUUGGAGCUGGGAAAGGAGACGAAGGUGGUAGAAGUGUUAGGAGAGGAGCCUGCGGGUAGGGGAAGUUAAGGAGAGAAUGGGAAAUGUAUUAAUGACUUUGUGGUAUUGAAAUAAAACAGUUCCCUGAUUAAUUCGUUUCCUCCAAUACGACCAAACUCACACCAACACUUUGGCAUGCCACAGAUCACCCCCAAGAGUGACUCCACAGCCAUCAGCCACCAUCCCCACCAUCCCAGGCAGUGGCAGCCAGGCAGAGGAAGUGGUCCAAGAAACCUCCCUGUCUGCAGUUCAGUUUCUACUCAUACUUCUCAUAAAGUCAUGACCCUGGCCAUGAAUCUCCCAUCCCUGGAAACCCAGAAGGACGCUCUCCCUUCUGGACGCAUUCCUCCUCCAGGCAUAACUUCCAACACGAAGGUCAGAAUGAAUGCGAGUCGCCCAGAGCCCCACACCCAGCCCUGGGAAGGGCGAUUCCCUCUGGGAAUUCUGCCAGCACAAUGUUGCCUCAAUUUGAAGACAAAUUUUAAAUUAAUAAAGAAAAAAAAAAGCCUCAGACUCUCACGUCUGCCAAAACACACCAUUCCCUGAAAGGUUCCUGAAAAGGACUCAGUGAUGUACUAUAAAGAAAGCGCCAACCUUCCAUAGCCUUCUCCAGCUGCGAGACGCAGACUGGCGGGUCCUGGAAAGGUAACAGCUCACAGCCGCCUUCCCGGGGGCAGCGCAGUGUUGUUCUUGGAUCGAGAAGACCUUUCAGCUGCCUUACCACCUGUGUAUUUCACAGUCUUGCAGUUCCCUAAACCCCUAUGAACAACACAGAACGAACAGACCCGUGGCCAACAGAAAACCCUGAGAAAAGUACUGGAAGAAAGAGUGUGGUUGGUUUAAGAUAGAAAUGAUGUGAAGGUUGCAGUGCGUGCCCUGCAGUUUUCAAAGCCUGCAUCGCUAAAAUCAUCACAGGAAUAGAAGUGUCCUUGUCAGCUGCUCUUUUCUUUAGCAGAGAAUCUCUCAAACAGCCUCAGGCCACAAAAUCACUUCCUGAGGAACUCUUGGUAACUGAAUGCCUCUCCAAGUAGCAGGGACCCACACACUGGAAU
rnacentral:lncRNA from 1 species